rnacentral:rRNA from 1 species
UGAACGCUAGCUACAGGCUUAACACAUGCAAGUCGAGGGGCAGCAUGAGCUCAGCUUUGCUGGGUUUGAUGGCGACCGGCGCACGGGUGAGUAACGCGUAUCCAACCUGCCCUUUACUCCGGGAUAGUCUCCUGAAAGGGAGUUUAAUACCGGAUGUGUUUGUCUUUCCGCAUGGGAGCGACAAAUAAAGAUUAAUUGGUAAAGGAUGGGGAUGCGUCCCAUUAGCUUGUUGGCGGGGUAACGGCCCACCAAGGCGACGAUGGGUAGGGGUUCUGAGAGGAAGGUCCCCCACAUUGGAACUGAGACACGGUCCAAACUCCUACGGGAGGCAGCAGUGAGGAAUAUUGGUCAAUGGGCGAGAGCCUGAACCAGCCAAGUAGCGUGAAGGACGACGGCCCUACGGGUUGUAAACUUCUUUUAUAAGGGAAUAAAGUUCGCCACGUGUGGUGUUUUGUAUGUACCUUAUGAAUAAGCAUCGGCUAAUUCCGUGCCAGCAGCCGCGGUAAUACGGAAGAUGCGAGCGUUAUCCGGAUUUAUUGGGUUUAAAGGGAGCGUAGGCGGGCUUUUAAGUCAGCGGUCAAAUGUCACGGCUCAACCGUGGCCAGCCGUUGAAACUGCAAGCCUUGAGUCUGCACAGGGCACAUGGAAUUCGUGGUGUAGCGGUGAAAUGCUUAGAUAUCACGAAGAACUCCGAUCGCGAAGGCAUUGUGCCGGGGCAGCACUGACGCUGAGGCUCGAAAGUGCGGGUAUCAAACAGGAUUAGAUACCCUGGUAGUCCGCACGGUAAACGAUGAAUGCUCGCUAUGGGCGAUAUAUUGUCCGUGGCCAAGCGAAAGCGUUAAGCAUUCCACCUGGGGAGUACGCCGGCAACGGUGANACUCAAAGGAAUUGACGGGGGCCCGCACAAGCGGAGGAACAUGUGGAUUAAUUCGAUGAUACGCGAGGAACCUUACCCGGGCUUGAAUUGCAGGUGCAUGAGUCGGAGACGGCUCUUUCCUUCGGGACUCCUGU